UUUUUUUAACUUUUUAAUUUUAUUUUCGCUGCCACAUGGCAUAUGGAGUUCCCGGGCCAAGAAUCAGAUCCAAGCAACAGCUGUGACAGGGAGGAAUGCUUUAAACCACUGACUGGGCCCAGGAUUGAACCUACAUCCUUGGCACUGCAGAAAUGUUACUGAUCCCAUUGUGCCACAGUAGGAACUCCCAUUCAUGCUUUUUAAAAUAGCCAGUGGAGCAGUUCCCACUGUGGCUCAGUAGGUUAAGAACUCAGCAUAGUCUCCAUGAGAAUGCAGGAUCAAUUCCCAGCCUCACUCCGGGGGUUAAGGAUCUGGCAUUGCCACAAGCUUCUGCAUAGGUUGCAGAUGCAGCUUAGACCUGGUGUUGCUGUGGUUGUGGCAUAGGCCUACAGCUGCAGCUCUGAUUCGACUCCUAGCCUGGCAACUUCCAUAUGCUACAGGUGUCGCCAUAAAAAGAAGGAAAAAAAAAUUGUUUAAUUAAAAUAGCCAGUAUAUGCUAUCUAUGUUAAAGUGAGAUAUGGUUACCUAGGGUGGGCCAAACUAGGCAAAGAGCAGCUUUUCUAGAAUCUGUAUUAACAGAGAUUAUCUCUCUCAUAUAAUCUUUUUCUUAAAUAUUCUGAGUUGCUCUGAACAGGUUCUUCAUAUUUCCAUGACAGUUUAUUUAAUAAUGGUAUUGUUUAUCUGCUGUGCCUAGCACUUAGCUAGGUAUCAUAAGCUAGGGACAAAAAGCAAGUGGCAUGCAAGAUAUAAGUCCACUCACUAGAGCCUAGAUAGGAUCGACACACACACACACACACACACACACACACACCCCAGUUGUGUGUGUGGAUGUAACAAUGCAAGUGUAAGGACCUCAGUUUUGUCUUGGGGGAUAGAAGUAGGACUGGGACGGGCUCCUUGGGUAGAGGGCACGUUGUAAAACCGAAGGUGGGCAAGGGGAAAGGUGACGUCUGUGACCCCUGCAACUGGAAGCAGGAGCUGCUGCGCUGGGGGAAGAGGCAACAAGGCUGGUUGUGGACGUGUUCAUUUAGUGGCUGGACAAGAAGCUACGCCCCAGGGGCCUAAUGCUGCCGGUCUCUGAUCAGCUACAAGCUCUGAGCUGGGAGCUGAGCGGCGCCUGCAGAGGGAGAAGCAGCACUCGAAGCCAUGAGAGUAUCAGCCCCCAGGGGUUUAGUGUGUCACCAAACAAUACAUCAUGGCAUCAUUGCUACCACAUAAAGAGAUUUUCCUUCGUGUUGACACAGUCUAGGGGAAUCUAAAAAUUUAACACUUGACUGCAUGUGUGCAGUACCACACACCUUGGAUUAGCCUAUCCAGAAAACUCCCAUUUCCCAUUUCACCUUUUUUCCACUCCUUCCUCUCCGUUUCCAAUAACCAUCUCAUUGUGAAGCUCACCGCCAGACAAGAGCUGUGCCUGGCAGCCUCGCCUGAUUCAUAUUCUUCACGUAGCUUGUGGGAAAGUGACCAGAAUGAUUGAAACUUAUUAAAUACCUGUUGGGGUCUUUAGAAAUCACCAGGAAAAUAUCACGUCUAGAACUAUCACCGAAUAUUUCAAUGUAGUAGUUACACAUACAGGCUUCUUAUCAAAAUGGGUCUUCUCUUCCUAGAGAGACGCGUAAGCCAGGAGGGCUAAUUCAUAUUCAUCGCUCCCCAAAAAUUAGCUACUCUGAACAAGCGGUGCUGAUCAAGAGGGAAAGGACCUUGGAGGUGGGCUGGCUCUGUCCUGGCCUUGUCACCUCCUCCACCCAGGUCAGUGGAGAGCUGCGUGAGCAACUCCACAAAGAGGGUUGACUCUUGUUAAUUUAAUUAAUGAAUUAAAGAACUCCGAAGGGGCCUCGGACGACACGGACGUGUCCUGUGCAGCCAGGGCAGGAGACAUCCCCACAAACAACAGCAGGUCAGUGUGCAGACCAGCCACAGAAGGAGCUGGGUAGAUACUGUUUAUUGACAACCUGGAUGGAACCUGAGGGCAUUGUGCAAAGUGAGGUAAGUCAGACAAAGACAAAUACUGUAUGAUAUCACUUAAAUGUGGAAUCUAAAAAAAUGAUGCAAAUGAACUCAUUUACAAAGCAGAACAGAUUCACAGACAGAGAAUACAAACCUAUGGUUAUGAAAGAGGAAAACAGGGAAGGGAUGCAUUAGGAGUUUGGGAUUAAAAUAUAUACAUUACUAUACAUAAAAUUAAUAACCAACAAGUACCUACUGUAUAGCACAGGCAACUCUACUCAAUAACUUAUAAUAACCUAUAAUGGAAAAGACUCUCAAGAUACAUCACUUUGCUGUACACCUGAAACUAACACAACAUUGUAAAUCAACCAUAUUUCAAUUAAAAUAUCUUUAAAAGGAGUUCCCGUCGUGGCACAGUGGUUAACGAAUCCGACUAGGAACCAUGAGGUUGCAGGCUCGAUCCCUGGCCUUGCUCUGUGGGUUAAAGAUCCGGCGUUGCCGUGAGCUGUGGUGUAGGUUGCAGAUGCGGCUCGGAUCCCGUGUUGCUGUGGCUCUGGCGUAGGCCGGUGGCUACAGCUCCGUUUCAAUCCCUAGCCUGGGAACCUCCAUAUGCCACGAGAGUGGCCUAAUAAAAUGGCAAAAAAGACAAUAAAUAAAUAAAUAAAUAAAUAAAUAAAUAAAAUAUAAAAGAAACUGAAAAGUCUUGUAAUUAUUAAAUAAAAAAUUUCUAAAGAACAGAGGAUUAAAUGGUGUGAUAGGAAUGCUAGCGAGGACUAUGGCAAUGACCAUACUGGAGUGUGUAAUGUAUCACAUCAACAGACUGUACUCGAACUUACAUAAUGUUAAACGUCAAUGAUAUCUCAAUUUUAAAUUUUUUUAAUAGAAAAUAAAAAUGGAUACAGAACCAAAGGGGUAAGAAAAAGAAAUCAAAGCACACAUAGGUCCCUCAUACCACAUACCCU
ensembl:lncRNA